AGUGAACGCUGGCGGUAGGCCUAACACAUGCAAGUCGAACGGCAGCACAGUAAGAGCUUGCUCUUACGGGUGGCGAGUGGCGGACGGGUGAGGAAUACAUCGGAAUCUACUUUUUCGUGGGGGAUAACGUAGGGAAACUUACGCUAAUACCGCAUACGACCUACGGGUGAAAGCAGUGGAUCUUCGGACCUUUCGCGAUUGAAUGAGCCGAUGUCGGAUUAGCUAGUUGGCGGGGUAAAGGCCCACCAAGGCGACGAUCCGUAGCUGGUCUGACAGGAGGGUCAGCCACACUAGAACUGAGACACGGUCCAGACUCCUACGGGAGGCAGCAGUGGGGAAUAUUGGACAAUGGGCGGAAGCCUGAUCCAGCCAUACCGCGUGGGUGAAGAAGGCCUUCGGGUUGUAAAGCCCUUUUGUUGGGAAAGAAAAGCAGCAGGUUAAUACCCCGCUGUUCUGACGGUACCCAAAGAAUAAGCACCGGCUAACUUCGUG
rnacentral:rRNA from 1 species